rnacentral:snRNA from 1 species
AAGCGUCCUCAGCGACGGACCG